rnacentral:rRNA from 1 species
AUUGAACGCUGGCGGCAUGCCUUACACAUGCAAGUCGAACGGUAACAGGUCUUCGGAUGCUGACGAGUGGCGAACGGGUGAGUAAUACAUCGGAACGUGCCUAGUAGUGGGGGGUAACUACUCGAAAGAGUGGCUAAUACCGCAUGAGAUCUACGGAUGAAAGCAGGGGAUCGCAAGACCUUGUGCUACUAGAGCGGCCGAUGGCAGAUUAGGUAGUUGGUGGGAUAAAAGCUUACCAAGCCGACGAUCUGUAGCUGGUCUGAGAGGACGAUCAGCCACACUGGGACUGAGACACGGCCCAGACUCCUACGGGAGGCAGCAGUGGGGAAUUUUGGACAAUGGGCGCAAGCCUGAGCCAGCAAUGCCGCGUGCAGGAUGAAGGCCUUCGGGUUGUAAACUGCUUUUGUACGGAACGAAAAGCCCCGGGUUAAUACCCUGGGGUCAUGACGGUACCGUAAGAAUAAGCACCGGCUAACUACGUGCCAGCAGCCGCCGCAG